rnacentral:rRNA from 1 species
GGGGGGGGGGGCAAGCGUUGUUCGGAAUUACUGGGCGUAAAGGGCGCGUAGGCGGGUCCCGCAAGUCCUCCGUGAAAUCCCACAGCUCAACUGUGGAACUGCGAGGGAAACUGCAGGACUUGAGUCCGGGAGAGGAGAGUGGAAUUCCCAGUGUAGCGGUGAAAUGCGUAGAUAUUGGGAGGAACACCGGUGGCGAAGGCGGCUCUCUGGACCGGUACUGACGCUGAGGCGCGAAAGCUAGGGGAGCAAACGGGAUUAGAUACCCCGGUAGUCCUAGCCCUAAACGAUGAGCACUUGGUGUGGCGGGUAUCGACCCCUGCCGUGCCGAAGCUAACGCAUUAAGUGCUCCGCCUGGGGAGUACGGUCGCAAGGCUG